UGAGGAGAGCUGCCAAAGCAAACAGCGCACAACUUAAACUGAUGCGGAGAAGCGUGCUCUAAUUAAUAUAUGCGAGGACGUCUUCGCGGAUCUGCGCGUCACCAAAAGAAAUCUCAAGGCUUAAAUGGCUAUAUCUGAACGUCUCCAUGCAGUGGGCGUCCGGAAGAGCACAAAGGAAGUGAAGAAAAAGAUCCAGAAUAUGAGCAACAAAUACAGGCUACUGACCAGGACCUGCACGAAGACCGGGUCAGGAGGCGUACCACGGAAGUUUUAUUGGGACCUCCACCAUUUUCUUGGCUCCCUUCCAGCGAAUGAUGCCAGCCUUAUGAAGGAAACUGGCUGUAGUACUAUGAUGGCGCCUCUCCAGAGGAGCUGUUCAAUGGCAUGGUGCAUGGUGGAGUGAGCCAGCCCCCGGAUACACCUACAGAUUCACUACUUUCUGAGCCAAGCUCAGAGUCUCUCGAAGUGGAAGUCUCCCCGCUUGACUCUACCGCUGAAGAACCUGCAGCCUCUAGACCAACGACU